GGCUUGGUAGCACUCGGUGUGCAUCUGCAUCUACUUCCAAUGUUUAUCUGACAUAUGCACUGAGCAGAGAUAGCUCGUUCGACUCGGGCCCAAGUCA